UCAGCAUUUUCUGACAAAGAGCUUCUUCUACUAGUUUCUGCUAAUACAUCAUGCAUGAUUGGCAUAUAAUCAAAUGCCUGCUACAGGGGCACUUGAAAGAAAAAGCCUUGUAGAAGAAAACAGUUUCCAAAUGCUGAUUUAAUAUUACAGCUCGGUGACAGCAUGAGUCAUAACAACAGGGAUUGUGAUAUUAUCAAGAAAACAUUAUGCUGUUAUGAAGCUCCUUUGUUUGUUGGCACACAGUAGGUGAACACAGCAAAGCAGGUGUCCACGGCAGAACCUGUGGUCGCUAUAUCCAAUCCUAACCCUGAUAUUGCAGUAGCUCUUCCAUAAUGCCCAACUCCUGUAAGCUUUCACUGAGAACUUUGUCAUUUGCAAUGUAGUACAGCAUGUGCGAUCAUUGCUGGGUCUUUACACAAAAGCAAGUUGCAGACAAAAUAGAAGGUUUCCCACAAGGAAAGGAAUCACACAACACAUGCACACAAUCUGAAAGAACAUUAUGGAGGGAAGACUUACAGAUCACCUAAGGCUAACUCACGAGAAAAAUAUGAAAUAAAGUUGAGAGCAUGAGAUCUGCGUCUGGUGCGCUGAAGUGGCAAACAUUAUGGGUAUGAGGGAGGAGUUUGAGAGUUGGAUCCAAGCCUGUGAUAUGUGGCCAAGCUGUCUCCGAAGGCCAGAUCCAAGACCCCAUCGUGAGGAAGAAUGAAGAAGACAACAUCAGCUCAUCUAAUUAAUAAGGAAACAUUUUAGAGCAGUGCUGCUUUAAAACAUCAACUGUCAAAUAUUGUUAUCCAAACAUAGCUGCAUCAA